AGCCUGAUGCAGCGACGCCGCGUGAGGGAUGACGGCCUUCGGGUUGUAAACCUCUUUCAGCAGGGAAGAAGCGAAAGUGACGGUACCUGCAGAAGAAGCGCCGGCUAACUACGUGCCAGCAGCCGCGGUAAUACGUAGGGCGCGAGCGUUGUCCGGAAUUAUUGGGCGUAAAGAGCUCGUAGGCGGCUUGUCGCGUCGGUUGUGAAAGCCCGGGGCUUAACCCCGGGUCUGCAGUCGAUACGGGCAGGCUAGAGUUCGGUAGGGGAGAUCGGAAUUCCUGGUGUAGCGGUGAAAUGCGCAGAUAUCAGGAGGAACACCGGUGGCGAAGGCGGAUCUCUGGGCCGAUACUGACGCUGAGGAGCGAAAGCGUGGGGAGCGAACAGGAUUAGAUACCCUGGUAGUCCACGCCGUAAACGGUGGGCACUAGGUGUGGGCAACAUUCCACGUUGUCCGUGCCGCAGCUAACGCAUUAAGUGCCCCGCCUGGGGAGUACGGCCGCAAGGCUAAAACUCAAA
rnacentral:rRNA from 1 species